rnacentral:rRNA from 1 species
UACGGAGGAUGCAAGCGUUAUCCGGAAUGAUUGGGCGUAAAGCGUCCGCAGGUGGCUGUGUAAGUCUGCUGUUAAAGAGUGAGGCUUAACCUCAUCAAGGCAGUGGAAACUACAUAGCUAGAGUACGGUCGGGGUAGAAGGAAUUCCUGGUGUAGCGGUGAAAUGCGUAGAGAUCAGGAAGAACACCGGUGGCGAAAGCGUUCUGCUAGACCUGUACUGACACUGAGGGACGAAAGCUAGGGGAGCGAAUGGG